UACAGAGGUCCCAAGCGUUGUUCGGAUUUAUUGGGCGUAAAGGGUGCGUAGGCGGUCAUGCAAGUCGGUUGUGAAAUUCCGGAGCCUAACUCCGGAACUGCAUUCGAAACUGCAUGGCUCGAGGUCUGGAGAGGUAAUUGGAAUUCUCGGUGUAGCAGUGAAAUGCGUAGAUAUCGAGAGGAACACCAGAGGCGAAAGCGAAUUACUGGACAGAACCUGACGCUGAGGCACGAAAGCUAGGGGAGCAAACGGG
rnacentral:rRNA from 1 species